rnacentral:rRNA from 1 species
UGGGGAAUAUUGCACAAUGGGCGCAAGCCUGAUGCAGCCAUGCCGCGUGUAUGAAGAAGGCCUUCGGGUUGUAAAGUACUUUCAGCGGGGAGGAAGGUGUUGAGGCUAAUAACCUCAGCAAUUGACGUUACCCGCAGAAGAAGCACCGGCUAACUCCGUGCCAGCAGCUGCGGUCAUACGGAGGGUGCAAGCGUUAAUCGGAAUUACUGGGCGUAAAGCGCACGCAGGCGGUCUGUCAAGUCGGAUGUGAAAUCCCCGGGCUCAACCUGGGAACUGCAUUCGAAACUGGCAGGCUAGAGUCUUGUAGAGGGGGGUAGAAUUCCAGGUGUAGCGGUGAAAUGCGUAGAGAUCUGGAGGAAUACCGGUGGCGAAGGCGGCCCCCUGGACAAAGACUGACGCUCAGGUGCGAAAGCGUGGGGAGCAAACA